AGCAUGCUAGUUGUACGAGUUCAGACUCGUAGCAGAUAGCUCAGUAACACGUGGCCAAACUACCCUAUGGAUCCGGACAACCUCGGGAAACUGAGGCUAAUCCGGGAUACGACUCUCAGCCUGGAAGUGGCGAGAGUCAGAAACGCUCCGGCGCCGUAGGAUGUGUCUGCGGCCGAUUAGGUAGACGGUGGGGUAACGGCCCACCGUGCCGAUAAUCGGUACGGGUUGUGAGAGCAAGAGCCCGGAGACGGAAUCUGAGACAAGAUUCCGGGCCCUACGGGGCGCAGCAGGCGCGAAACCUUUACACUGUACGCAAGUGCGAUAAGGGGACCCCAAGUGCGAGGGCAUAUAGUCCUCGCUUUUCCCGACUGUAAGGCGGUCGGGGAAUAAGGGCUGGGCAAGACCGGUGCCAGCCGCCGCGGUAAUACCGGCAGCCCAAGUGAUGACCGAUAUUAUUGGGCCUAAAGCGUCCGUAGCCGGCCACGAAGGUCCAUCGGGAAAUCCGCCAGCUCAACUGGCGGGCGUCCGGUGGAAACCACGUGGCUUGGGACCGGAAGGCUCGAGGGGUACGUCCGGGGUAGGAGUGAAAUCCCGUAAUCCUGGACGGACCACCGAUGGCGAAAGCACCUCGAGAAGACGGAUCCGACGGUGAGGGACGAAAGCUAGGGCCUCGAACCGGAUUAGAUACCCGGGUAGUCCUAGCUGUAAACGAUGCUCGCUAGGUGUGGCACAGGCUACGAGCCUGUGCUGUGCCGUAGGGAAGCCGAGAAGCGAGCCGCCUGGGAAGUACGUCCGCAAGGAUGAAACUUAA
rnacentral:rRNA from 1 species